GUAUGGUACGCCUGGAAAGACGAUUGGCGUCUCCGCUGACGGACGGAAGCAGCCUUCGGGCUUUCUUUUACCACAUACAUGGAACGUUCGGGUAUUUUAACAAGCAUCUAUAUGUUUGUUU